CUACGGGGUGCAGCAGUAAGGAAUAUUGGUCAAUGGACGAAAGUCUGAACCAGCCAUGCCGCGUGAAGGAUUAAGGUCCUCUGGAUUGUAAACUUCUUUUAUGUGGGACGAAAAAAGGUCUUUCUAGAUCACUUGACGGUACCAUAUGAAUAAGCACCGGCUAACUCCGUGCCAGCAGCCGCGGUAAUACGGAGGGUGCAAGCGUUAUCCGGAUUCACUGGGUUUAAAGGGUGCGUAGGCGGGCAGGUAAGUCAGUGGUGAAAUCCUGGAGCUCAACUCCAGAACUGCCAUUGAUACUAUCUGUCUUGAAUAUUGUGGAGGUAAGCGGAAUAUGUCAUGUAGCGGUGAAAUGCUUAGAUAUGACAUAGAACACCCAUUGCGAAGGCAGCUUACUACGCAUAUAUUGACGCUGAGGCACGAAAGCGUGGGGAUCAAACAGGAUUAGAUACCCGCGUAGUC
rnacentral:rRNA from 1 species